rnacentral:misc_RNA from 1 species
GGGGUCUUCGGCCUGGAGGUCUCGUUCUUCUUCGCUCAGUUCAAGAACGACCAUCAAACUUUAAGUACAUUUCACUGUAUUUUCAAGAGUUGGUGUGGAAAUGCUAAGUAGGGAGUGGACGGGGAAGUUAGCCGCGACUUUCCUAGUCAGCUUACUAGGAGUCGCGGCUUUGCCCAGCCCUUAUGCUGGUUUUGCAUUAGAGGAUAUUAGGAGGCCAAUUUAUCGAGGAAAUGACAGGUAUAAACGUAUUUAUUAUAAUAAAACUGUGAGCCCUUCAUCUGGAAUUCCCCCGUUUAAAAGUUUUAGUAAUAAUUUCGUUAGUUAUAAGAAAACGCCAUAUAUUGUUGUGAUGGGUAAUAUUUACAAUCGUUUGAGGGUUAGACGAAGCGAUCACGCAUACGUCGAUAAUGUCUUAACUUGGUUGUCUAAGAACAGAACUGACAAAUCAAAAGUUAACAGUGACGAAAUAUGGUCUUUAGUUCCUUUAGUGUCGUCCUUAACGAAUCACAGCCGGACGAAGGACAUGGUGAAGCAGUUCUUGACCAAUUCUUUGCAGCAUUUGAAGAGCGAUAAAGUUCAAGAAGAUAAAGUUCACGUUGAAGAUGCGGGCGAUAAAGAAUCGUUGGACAAUUUGAUCUUGUCGCACACGAGUGGUCCUAGACCUAUUCAGAUGGUGCCUCAAGGUAGCCCUUCUAAAUGGCUGGACACGGUAAACAUGAACACAUCGGUGAUAUUGGUAGAAGACGUUCACCCGUCAAAACUACCGAAACCGCCGUGGCAUUCGUGGCAUCAUAACAAUCGGCCGUCGUCAUCGCCUCCUAUGAUCGUUACAUACAGACCUGAAACUUCUUCUGGUUGGUCUUCGAACAAUGUCGAAUAUAGCCCUGUGCAAAUUGUGACGAAACCUGUCACGAGCAGACCGAAACCUGUUACUAUAAAGCCGGUUUAUGAGUAUGAUCCGCUACCCGAACCGCCUAAAAGGCCUCCUCAAAACGGCCCUAGUUCUCCUAAACCUCAAUUCAAUUAUCCAAAGCCUGUAACACAAAAACCGAUAUUUCAAAACCCAGCCCCGACUUUGCCACCGGUCGUAAAACCGGAUAUUCACAAACCAUCAGGAGUAAUUCACAAUUUCCCUACCGCAUUCGUUUCCAAUUUUCAUCACGAGCCGACCUAUAUGACAAGCUCGAGUCCGAGACCUCCGAGUAAACCUAGUAUAAUUAUUUUAGACGUAUCUACUCCUCCCACUACUGUAGGUCACAACCCUUACAGACCACCUUACGUUUCAGGCAAGCCGAAACCUGUUUUUAACGACCCGACGUCGAUAUAUGGGGACGUCGGUGAACACAAUUAUAAACCGGUGCACAUGUAUCCGAAACCUCAGCCGAAUCCCGAACCCCCUCCUUACAAGCCUCACAAUCACGUUGUAAAGCCCGUUCACAGUAUUCUGCCGUCUGAACCCUUAAAACCCAUCCGACCGACUAUAAUUACUUCCCACGGUGUUUUGACGACGACCCCAUCUAGACCGCCUCCGCCGAGCAUCGUCAUUAUAGACAGCGGCUAUCCUACUCAUUCUACGCCAACGGACAAUUGCGGCACAGUGCAGGUAGUGAGCAAUGCAAAAAGUACUACAGAUCAAAUGAGUGAAAAAGCCUGUUCCGAUGUGUUGGUCUUUCUGAAUUCUCCGGUAGCUGUAGGAACCGGAACAGUGACGAGCAGUAGCGGUGGUGGAGCAGGAGGAUCUCUCUCUGGUGGUGUCGGGGGAGCUGCAGCAGCCGGAGCGGCAGGCGCUGCUGGGGCUGCUGGGACUGCAGGGGCUGCUGGAGCUGCUGGAGCUGCAGGGGCUGCUGGAGUUGCUGGGGCUGCAGUUGCUGCGCCGUCCGAAGGUGCAGGAGCAGGAGCUGCUGAUGGUGGAGUUCUUUAUGGUCCCCCAGUUUCGGCAGACCCAGUCCAUUCGGUAGGCGGUGUAAAUCCGUCUCUGCAUCCGCUGGACGACGACGACGACGAAGAUGACUACGAUUACGAUAUCAACUCGACGGCCCCGUCGCCUCCGCCUCCACCACCGAAACCUACGCACAGACCGAAUCAUCAUCUUUUUUUUCAUACUUCUCAUAAUUUUUUCAACGACAUGAUUUUCACAGCAGCACACACGAUUCCGUUCUUAGGGCCUCUCAGUGUCUCGCUUUGGAUUAUUUUGCUCGGGCCGAUGGUGUUCAUUCUUUUAGGAGCUUUGGGAAUCGGAGCUUUGCUGUUGCCAUGGAUUGUUCCUAAGACUGUUGUAGGUAAACGUAGACGACGAUCGGCCCGCUACGAAACUCGAUUCUCCGAUUCGGCCAUACUGUUUGAAAGGAACUUGAAAUUAGGAUAUUUUAACAAAUACAACUGAGUUAUGUUUGUAACUAACUUGAAAGCUUCAAGCUUACCUCGAUAAAUGAGGAAGCAAACAUGUUCCUAUUUCAAUGAAAACAUUAACAACCAAAAAUACUUCAAAUGUAUCUGAUUUAGAUGACUUCAGACAAUAUACUUUUUCUUAACUAACAAAUUUCUUUUCUAUAAUUUCUAUCCUUCUUUACCUUUCUAUUAAAAAAUUACUGGCAAUUUCUUUACGUCUGUCUUCUUUGAACUUAUUUACCAUUAGGUAUAAAUAAUAAUUUUGAAAGAAUGAUCGAUUUUUGCUCUCCUCUAUUUCGUGCCAAGACAGCAACAUUUAAUUUUCCAAACUUAUAACAUAUUAAAUAAUGAGUCAUUAUGUAAAUUACAGUUAUUUAAAUGCGUAAAGACAAAAGUUAUUUUGUAUAUUGUAUGUAAUUAUUCACUGAUGUGUUAAUCUUUUUUUUUUCAAUGAUUAUUUCAAUUUUGUCUAGAUUUAGUUGAGAAUUAUAGUUUUGAGAAAAGUAGAAAGGUUAGACAAACAUUUAAUUAAAUUGCCAUCAUUGCCAAAUUUAAAUAGAAGAAAUAUAAGAUUAAAUAGUAUAUAUGAUAACAUAAUAGUAGAAACAUUAGCUAUAAAUAUUGUUGUCAGUGGUUAAAAUGUUGUACUUUAUGAGUACAGAUCAUAAUAUCUAGCAAGUGCUAUAUUAUUUUGUAAUAAUGGCUCAAACCGAUUUUGUAUGCAACUACUUAUGCUUUCAAUACUUGCAUAUUGUAAAUAUUGAUUUUAUAAUUGUAAGAAUUCAAGAAUAAAAUUCUUCACGAGUUUUUUCAAAGGACCAGAGAUCUUAAGAACGAGAGCAGGAUCGUCGAGAGAGGUGAGGUCGCUGCAGCGUUGGGCGCUGAGGACGGGCGAGCA